rnacentral:rRNA from 1 species
AUUGAACGCUGGCGGCAGGCCUAACACAUGCAAGUCGAACGGUAACAGAAAGCAGCUUGCUGCUUUGCUGACGAGUGGCGGACGGGUGAGUAAUGUCUGGGAAACUGCCCGAUGGAGGGGGAUAACUACUGGAAACGGUAGCUAAUACCGCAUAACGUCGCAAGACCAAAGAGGGGGACCUUCGGGCCUCUUGCCAUCGGAUGUGCCCAGAUGGGAUUAGCUAGUAGGUGGGGUAACGGCUCACCUAGGCGACGAUCCCUAGCUGGUCUGAGAGGAUGACCAGCCACACUGGAACUGAGACACGGUCCAGACUCCUACGGGAGGCAGCAGUGGGGAAUAUUGCACAAUGGGCGCAAGCCUGAUGCAGCCAUGCCGCGUGUAUGAAGAAGGCCUUCGGGUUGUAAAGUACUUUCAACGGGGAGGAAGGGAGUAAAGUUAAUACCUUUGCUCAUUGAC